ensembl:lncRNA
GGCUAUAUACAGGGUGUUACGGUACAGAGUCAAUGUGGAGGCUAUAUACAGGGGGUACCGGUACAGAGUCAAUGUGGAGGCUAUAUACAGGGUGUUACGGUACAGAGUCAAUGUGGAGACUAUAUACAGGGUGUUACGGUACAGAGUCAAUGUGGAGGCUAUAUACAGGGGGUACUGGUACAGAGUCAAUGUGGAGGCUAUAUACAGGGGGUACCGGUACAGAGUCAAUGUGGAGGCUAUAUACAGGGUAUUAUGGUACAGAGUCAAUGUGGAGGCUAUAUACAGGGUAUUAUGGUACAGAGUCAAUGUGGAGGCUAUAUACAGGGGGUACUGGUACAGAGUCAAUGUGGAGGCUAUAUACAGGGGGUACCGGUACAGAGUCAAUGUGGAGGCUAAAUACAGGGGUACCGGUACAGAGUCAAUGUGGAGGCUAUAUACAGGGGUACCGGUACAGAGUCAAUGUGGUGACUAUAUACAGGGUGUUACGGUACAGAGUCAAUGUGGAGGCUAUAUACAGGGUGUUACGGUACAGAGUCAAUGUGGAGGCUAUAUGCAGGGG